rnacentral:rRNA from 1 species
ACGCUCGACACUACGGGAAGCAGCAGUGGGGAAUAUUGCACAAUGGGGGAAACCCUGAUGCAGCGACGCCGCGUGAAGGAAGAAGUAUCUCGGUAUGUAAACUUCUAUCAGCAGGGAAGAAAAUGACGGUACCUGACUAAGAAGCCCCGGCUAACUACGUCNCACAGCCGCGGUAAUCUGAGCGGGCUGGCAAGGC